UUGUAGCUUUUAUGGACGCUACGUCGCUACUUGAGCAAAAAAAUAACGUAACUACUGGAAAGUUAUUUGAUUCAGAAAUCAGCGACGCUACAGGCAAGCUACUAGAAAAUGUAUUUAAACUAAUAGCUUCGCUACAUGUAGCGGCGCUACCGCCCAUCACUGACACUAGGGUUCGGGCCAUUCCAGAAUGCAUUGAUCAAUUCCAGUCCAAAGCGGGAUGGAUUUUUAAUUUUUAAUUUCUUUAAAUUAUAGAUUAGUUUUUGUUUAGAAGCCAGACAAGCUGGACAGCUCCUUUACCUUGUUAGCACUGUCAGCUCUAUAGGCAGCUGUUGAUAGAUUGGUAGCUGUGUUGCAUAGAUAGACAAUAGAAACAGGGCCAGCAGCUGUUACCUUGUGCAGGAGAACAGCAAGCCUUCCUUACUCUUUCUGCAGUUUGUAGUUGAAAAUAUUCCGAAAUCUUAGAUAACAUUCCUGCUGAAUUUCAUGUUGAAACUUUUAAAGUUGUGCUGACUUAAAGCAACACACCCAAGUUAAUAAAACAACAGAAAGAAACAAAACACAUAGGAGCUGCUAUUGCUGGCUGAUGAUGAGUUUUGCUCAUUAACAAUUACUCACUUCUGAAGGAUCAAAGAUGAGAGAUGUGGAGUGUGAGGACUGUCCAUACGGCUAUUACUCAACACAGAGUGUAAAUUGCACACUAUGGAAAAGCUGUACUGCUGAUGAGGAGAAGAUUGAAGAUGGAAGCAAAUGGAAAGAUGUUGUUUGCCAGAAAUUAACCAUGUUAAAAAAGUUCUUUGCUUUAGUUUUGGUUAGUUUAUCAACCCGUUUAUCAUAUUAACGUUCCAUCCUUACCAUAAGCAUUUCAUUUAUAUUAGGCAAUUAAACGUUAAUAGAUUAUACUAUAUACCAUGCACCUCCUAUGGAAUAUUAUUUAGCACUAUACAACGUAGAAUAUACUCAUGAUAUUAUUAAAAAGCAUGCCAAAAUA